rnacentral:misc_RNA from 1 species
GUCGCAUGUUAAAAAUUUUCAUAUAAAUUUCAUGAGUCAUUGGUUUGAUUAUUCAAACAGCUGAAUGUCCCGUAUCUCAGAAAGCAUAUCCAAAAUAUAUUUUAGCCAAAGGGAAGAGACAUACACUCUUACAAAACUAAUUAUACUUCAAGUCACCCAAAUUCAUGGAAUCAUCCCAUCUGAGCAUGUUGCUUGGUGGAGGAAGAUGAAUCCAUCUCCUGGCUAUGUUGGUUUGUGUCCACAUUAUGUGAAUUUG